UUUCCGUAGGUGAACCUGCGGAAGGAUCAUUAUUGUAUACCCGAGGUGCGAGGGCUGUCGCUGACCCGAAAGGGCGUGCACGCCCGAGUGCCCUCACACACAUCCAUCUCACCCCUAUGUGCACCACCGCGUGGGUCCCCCUUUGGCUUGUUCGGAGGGGGGCUUACGUUUUCACACAAACUUUGUAUGCAGUGUAGAAUGUAUUUUUUGUUUUUGCGAUCACGCAAUCAAUACAACUUUCAACAACGGAUCUCUUGGCUCUC
rnacentral:misc_RNA from 1 species